rnacentral:rRNA from 1 species
AUAGCAAUAUUGGAGUGGCGCACGGGUGAGUAACACGUAGCUAAUCUACCUCAAAGCGCGGGAUAACGUGUCGAAAGACAGGCUAAUACCGCAUAAGCUCGCGAUCUGUAGAGGGUUGCGAGAAAAGGCGCAAGUCACUUUGAGAUGAGGCUGCGGCCCAUCAGCUAGUUGGGGUGGUAAAAGCACACCAAGGCGACGACGGGUAGGGGACCUGAGAGGGUGACUCCCCACACUGGGACUGAGACACGGCCCAGACUCCUACGGGAGGCAGCAGUGAGGAAUAUUGCACAAUGGGCGCAAGCCUGAUGCAGCGACGCCGCGUGGGUGAAGAAGGUUUUCGGA